UACGGAGGAUCCAAGCGUUAUCCGGAUUUAUUGGGUUUAAAGGGCGCGUAGGCGGCUCAUGAAGGCUGUGGUGAAAGUCCGGGGCUCAACCUCGGAUCGGCCGUGGCGACUCGUGGGCUGGAGCACUGUAGAGGCAGGUGGAAUUCCGGGUGUAGCGGUGGAAUGCGUAGAGAUCCGGAAGAACACCAGUGGCGAAAGCGGCUCACUGGACCAUUACUGACGCUGAUGCACGAAAGCUAGGGGAGCAAACAGG
rnacentral:rRNA from 1 species